ACGGCUCAGUAACACGUGGACAACCUACCCUCAGCACGGGGAUAAACCCGGGAAACUGGGUAUAAUACCCGAUAGUUCUGGUUAGCUGGAAUGCUAUCAGGACGAAAGCUCCGGCGGCCGAGGAUGGGUCUGCGGCCUAUCAGGUAGUAGUGGGUGUAACGUACCUACUAGCCUACGACGGGUACGGGUUGUGAGAGCAAGAGCCCGGAGAUGGAUUCUGAGACACGAAUCCAGGCCCUACGGGGUGCAGCAGGCGCGAAAACUUUACAAUGCUGGCAACAGCGAUAAGGGGACCUCGAGUGCCAGGAUACAAUCUUGGCUGUCGUGAUGCCUAAAAAGCAUUGCAUAGCAAGGGCCGGGCAAGACCGGUGCCAGCCGCCGCGGUAACACCGGCGGCUCGAGUGGUAACCGCUAUUAUUGGGUCUAAAGGGUCUGUAGCCGGCCGGAUAAGUCUUUUGGGAAAUCCAGCUGCUCAACAGUUGGGCUUUCAGAAGAUACUGUUCGGCUCGAGGCCGGGAGAGGUGAGAGGUACUUCAGGGGUAGGGGUGAAAUCUUGUAAUCCUUGAAGGACCACCAGUGGCGAAGGCGUCUCACCAGAACGGACCUGACGGCAAGGGACGAAAGCUAGGGGCACGAACCGGAUUAGAUACCCGGGUAGUCCUAGCCGUAAACGAUACUCGCUAGGUGUCAGCCACGGUGCGACCGUGGUUGGUGCCGUAGGGAAGCCGUGAAGCGAGCCACCUGGGAAGUACGGCCGCAAGGCUGAAACUUAAAGGAAUUGGCGGGGGAG
rnacentral:rRNA from 1 species